rnacentral:tRNA from 1 species
UAGCUCAGUGGGUAAAGAAUCUGCCUACAAUGCAGGAGACCCGGGUUCGAUUCCUGG